rnacentral:rRNA from 1 species
UACGUAGGGGGCAAGCGUUGUCCGGAUUUAUUGGGCGUAAAGAGUGUGUAGGCGGCCAGGUAGGUCCGUUGUGAAAACUCGAGGCUCAACCUCGAGACGUCGAUGGAAACCAUCUGGCUAGAGUCCGGAAGAGGAGAGUGGAAUUCCUGGUGUAGCGGUGAAAUGCGCAGAUAUCAGGAAGAACACCCGUGGCGAAGGCGGCUCUCUGGGACGGUACUGACGCUGAGACGCGAAAGCGUGGGGAGCGAACAGG